UGAGGAACAUGACCUUCGGGCGGGGGGAUAGCCGGCCCAACGGCCGGGUAAUACCGCGUACGACCUUUCGGGGACAUCCCUGGAUGGUGAAAGCAGCAAUGCGCCGAUGGAGUGCCUCGCGGCCUAUCAGCUAGUUGGUGAGGUAACGCUCACAAGGCGACGGACGGGUAGCUGGUCUGAGAGGAUCGGCCAGCCACUAUUGGGACUGAGACACCGGCCAGACCUCCGUACGGGGAGCA
rnacentral:rRNA from 1 species